rnacentral:rRNA from 1 species
GACGAACGCUGGCGGCGUGCUUAACACAUGCAAGUCGAACGGUGAAGCGCCUUCCUUUUUGGUGGGUGUGGAUGAGUGGCGAACGGGUGAGUAACACGUGAGUAACCUGCCCCCUUCUUCUGGAUAACCGCAUGAAAGUGUGGCUAAUACGGGAUAUUCUGGGUCUGUCGCAUGAUGGGUCUGGGAAAGAUGUUGUUUCGGUGGGGGAUGGGCUCGCGGCCUAUCAGCUUGUUGGUGGGGUGGUGGCCUACCAAGGCGGUGACGGGUAGCCGGCCUGGGAGGGUGGACGGGCUCGUUGGGGCGGAGGAACGGCCAAGACUGGAACGGGAGGCGGCCGUGGGGAAUAUUGCACGAUGGGGGGGAGAAUGAUGCAGCGUGGCCGCGUGAGGGAUGGAGGCCUGCGGGGUGUGAGACUCAUGCGCCAGUGAAGCAGGCCUGCCUCGUUUGUGAGUGGGUUGACGGUAGCUGGAGAAGAAGCGCCGGCUAACUACGUG